rnacentral:rRNA from 1 species
ACGGCUCAGUAACACGUGGACAACCUACCCUUGGGACGGGGAUAAACCCGGGAAACUGGGUAUAAUACCCGAUAGCUCUGGGAAGCUGGAAUGCUUCCAGGACGAAAGCUCCGGCGCCCAAGGAUGGGUCUGCGGCCUAUCAGGUAGUAGUGGGUGUAAUGUACCUACUAGCCAACAACGGGUACGGGUUGUGAGAGCAAGAGCCCGGAGAUGGAUUCUGAGACAUGAAUCCAGGCCCUACGGGGCGCAGCAGGCGCGAAAACUUUACAAUGCGGGAAACCGUGAUAAGGGGACACCGAGUGCCAGCAUCAUAUGCUGGCUGUCCAGGUGUGUAAAAUACACCUGUUAGCAAGGGCCGGGCAAGACCGGUGCCAGCCGCCGCGGUAACACCGGCGGCCCGAGUGGUGAUCGUGAUUAUUGGGUCUAAAGGGUCCGUAGCCGGUUUGGUCAGUCCUCCGGGAAAUCUGACGGCUUAACCGUUAGGCUUUCGGGGGAUACUGCCAGGCUUGGAACCGGGAGAGGUAAGAGGUACUACAGGGGUAGGAGUGAAAUCUUGUAAUCCCUGUGGGACCACCUGUGGCGAAGGCGUCUUACCAGAACGGGUUCGACGGUGAGGGACGAAAGCUGGGGGCACGAACCGGAUUAGAUACCCGGGUAGUCCCAGCCGUAAACGAUGCUCGCUAGGUGUCAGGCAUGGCGCGACCGUGUCUGGUGCCGCAGGGAAGCCGUGAAGCGAGCCACCUGGGAAGUACGGCCGCAAGGCUGAAACUUAAAGGAAUUGGCGGGGGAGCAC